AAGGGAGACCUAAUUCGGGUAGAAGACGAAAAAAUAGUAGUCGAAACCAAGAAUCAAUCCCAAAAGGUCGGAACGAGGUAUGUGGCUUUCAGACUAGGUUCUGGGUUCACAAAAGACCUGAAUCAGGAACAAGGGCUAUUAGCUCAGGUGGUUAGAGCGCACCCCUGAUAAGGGUGAGAUCCCUGGUUCGAGUCCAGGAUGGCCCACCUGCACAGGUGGCAAAAACAAGAGAAACGAGGAAUCAGCACCUUAUCUUACUUACAUAGUAAGAGAGAAUGCUGGCUCUGAGUAAAGAGUCCAGAGGAACCUUGAAAACUGCAUAGAGCUAGGUGAAAAAGCCAAAAAAGAAGACCGCAA
rnacentral:tRNA from 1 species